GUUCGGCCCAGGCCUCCGCCACACAGCCUGCCCGGGCCGGCUGGGCCUGGCUAGCCAGAGUCCUCCACGCCCAGCCCCAAGCCCCGCCUGUGGCGCCCCCCACUCCCCAACCCCGGCGUUCAAGGAGCAUGCGCAAGAGCCGGUGUCCAGAGCGGACCGCGCGAGGCCUCCAGUCUGCAGCUGGAAGAAGGGUGUGCGGAGGCCAGUCUCCAGGACAGGCGCUCCCGGGAAGUGCUGCUGCAGAGCGCACGCUGAAAGUUAAAAGGCUUCUGGCUCCAGCGCCGGCGGGCAGCAGGACCUGGGACCUCGCAGGCAGGGUUUCCUGUCCGCGCCAGGGAAGUGGACGAGGCCAGGCGGAGCUGCAAGGUCAGCCACGGAGGGCUCCAGCGGGGGACAAGACACCGUCACUGCGGAUGGCAUGCAUCCCUCCGGGGCCUGUUCACCAGGCGAGCAAGCAGGCUGGUCGUGAGUGUGCGCUAGGAGCUGGGUGGAGCCCGGAUUUCUAGACGGUCUCCUAUCUGGGCCUCCUGAAAAAUAAGUGGAGACCCCCUUCCAGUGUGUUGAGGGGCUGACCCGCGCUGCCCCUUGCCUGGUGGAGGAGAAGGCUGGUCCCCAGGAAGCUCUGCACCACGGAGCAGACUGUGUGUUUUUGCUGGAAUAUAAUUGGUGAAAUGGCUUGUUGUUUGUUUUUGUGGUAUUGGGCAUGGAUCCCAGGGCCUCCAGCAAGCAGGCUAGGUGAGGCUCUGCCACGAGAUACCUCCCCAGCCCGGGGGUUGGGUUUUAAAAAAGCAACAGGAGGUUAAUUUUUUUUUUUUUUUUUUUGCCAUUUCAUUCCAAUCUCGACCGAAUCAGGAUUUAAAGUAGUUUAUUAUGGAAUACUGUGGCACUAACUUAAAGAAAAGGUGAGGUAAGUAUGUAAAUCAUCCAAUAGAAAAGUAAAGUAAAAUCUUGAACGUGUUUUACAAAAGCCAAAACCAAACAAAACGAAAAAAGCCCAACAACAAACAAACAGAAAACCAAAAAAGCUGGGAAAGUCUGAGAAUCUGGUGGUCUAGAGGGGCCCAGGAGGUGGGGUGACUAAGGCCAUGUGUGGCCUGGGGUCCUGAGGCAGAAGGAGGACAUGGGUGGAACUGAGGAAGUCCCGAUAAAGCCUGACUUCAGUGAGUGCUGCUGUGUCCCUGUGGGCUCCUGAGUGGUACCAAGUGGGCCCGGCUAUUGCAAGACCACCUCAUGCAGAACAUUGGGUGGGGGCUCAUGGGAACUCUCACCGUCCCCGAGGCUUUUCUGCGACUCGGAAGCCACUCUAAGAUCAUAAAAGCUUAUUCAAAAUAUCCUUCUCAGGAGUGAAAAGGAAAGCCGCCGAGUGUGAGAAAGAAAUUCGUAAUCAGCCAGGUAAAAGGGAAGAUGGCUGCAGAAUGGUCAAAAAGUAAAGAGCAAAAGUUCUUCUGUGAGCUUUUGAAAGUUUCCCAAAGGGGUAAAUUUUCUAGAGCUGGACCUUCCAGAGGGAAUACUUUUCUGGAAGCUAACAAUACUUUACAAGGUUGAGAAACACUAAAUUGACCAGUCUGCCUCUUCAGCUGGACUUAGAAAAUUUACAACCAACCAGGACCGAGUUGGUGUCCAAGUUCCAGGGUUACCUCAGUCCUGUUUAACUUCUCUAAAGACUGUUCCUUUUUGUUAGGAAAGCCUCAGACCUGCUCCACCUCUGUGGAGCGUUCAUUCACUCUAGUUCAACUGGGUUUGAAAAGUAUAUCCAGAAUAAAAGGAUCUUUGCUUUAA